rfam:Camelus ferus unplaced genomic scaffold scaffold279, whole genome shotgun sequence.
GGAGGAGGGCUCAGUGGUAGAGCGUGUGCUUAGCAUGCACGACAUCCUGGGUUCAGUCCUUGGUACCUCCA